rnacentral:rRNA from 1 species
AUUGAACGCUGGCGGCAGGCCUAACACAUGCAAGUCGAGCGGAUGAAGAGAGCUUGCUCUCUGAUUUAGCGGCGGACGGGUGAGUAAUGCCUAGGAAUCUGACUGGUAGUGGGGGAUAAUGUUCCGAAAGGAACGCUAAUACCGCAUACGUCCUACGGGAGAAAGCAGGGGACCUUCGGGCCUUGCGCUAACAGAUGAGCCUAGGUCGGAUUAGCUAGUUGGUGAGGUAGUGGAUCACCAAGGCUACGAUCCGGAACUGAUCGGAGAGGAUGAUCAGUCACACUGGAGAUGAGACACGGUCCAGACUCCUACGGGAGGAAGCAGUGGGGAAUAUUGGACAAUGGGCGAAAGCCUGAUCCAGCCAUGCCGCGUGUGUGAAGAAGGUCUUCUGAUUGUAAAGCACUUUAAGUUGGGAGGAAGGGCAGUAAGUUAAUACCUUGCUGUUUUGACGUUACCGACAGAAUAAGCACCGGCUAACUUCGUGCCAGCAGCCGCCGUAAGAC